rnacentral:misc_RNA from 1 species
AACACUGUUAACCUGCGGUACCUGCGGAGGGAUCAUUACCGAGUUUACAACUCCCAAACCCCUGUGAACAUACCAAUUGUUGCCUCGGCGGAUCAGCCCGCUCCCGGUAAAACGGGACGGCCCGCCAGAGGACCCCUAAACUCUGUUUCUAUAUGUAACUUCUGAGUAAAACCAUAAAUAAAUCAAAACUUUCAACAAUGGAUCU